AUACAGAGGGUGCGAGCGUUAAUCGGAAUUACUGGGCGUAAAGCGCGCGUAGGCGGCUUGGUCAGUCGGAUGUGAAAGCCCCGGGCUCAACCUGGGAAUGGCAUUCGAUACUGCCAGGCUAGAGUAUGAGAGAGGGAAGUGGAAUUUCCGGUGUAGCGGUGAAAUGCGUAGAUAUCGGAAGGAACACCAGUGGCGAAGGCGACUUCCUGGCCCAAUACUGACGCUGAGGUGCGAAAGCGUGGGGAGCGAACAGCAUUAGAAACCCUAGUAGUCC
rnacentral:rRNA from 1 species